UGGAAACGAGUGGUAAUACCGUAUACGCCCUCCGGGGGAAAGAUUUAUCGGUGAAAGAUCGGCCCGCGUUAGAUUAGCUAGUUGGUAGGGUAAUGGCCUACCAAGGCGACGAUCUAUAGCUGGUCUGAGAGGAUGAUCAGCCACACUGGGACUGAGACACGGCCCAGACUCCUACGGGAGGCAGCAGUGGGGAAUCUUGCACAAUGGGCGAAAGCCUGAUGCAGCCAUGCCGCGUGAAUGAUGAAGGCCUUAGGGUUGUAAAAUUCUUUCGCUAGGGAUGAUAAUGACAGUACCUAGUAAAGAAGCCCCGGCUAACUUCGUGCCAGCAGCCGCGGUAAUACGAAGGGGGCUAGCGUUGUUCGGAAUUACUGGGCGUAAAGCGCACGUAGGCGGACUUUUAAGUCAGGUGUGAAAUCCCAGGGCUCAACCCUGGAACUGCAUUUGAAACUGGAAGUCUAGAGACCAGGAGAGGUUAGCGGAAUACCGAGUGUAGAGGUGAAAUUCGUAGAUAUUCGGUGGAACACCAGUGGCGAAGGCGGCUAACUGGACUGGUACUGACGCUGAGGUGCGAAAGUGUGGGGAGCAAACAGGAUUAGAUACCCUGGUAGUCCACACCGUAAACGAUGAGAGCUAGUUGUUGGCAGGCAUGCCUGUCAGUGACGCAGCUAACGCAUUAAGCUCUCC
rnacentral:rRNA from 1 species